AUAUUGGUCAAUGGAGGCAGCUCUGAACCUGCCAAGUCGCGUGUAGGAUGAAGGUCUUAUGGUUUGUAAACUUCUUCUUCAAGGGAAUAAAGUGGGGGACGUGUCCUCCUUUGCUUGUACCAUGCGAAUAAGGAGCGGUUAACGCCGUCCCAGCAGCCGCGGUAAUACGGAGGAUCCGAGCGUUAUCCGGAUUUAUUGGGUUUAAAGGGUGCGCAGGCGGGAUGUUAAGUCGGCGGUGAAAUUUUGCAGCUCAACUGUAAAAGUGCCUUCGAUACUGGCUUCCUUGAGUGUGGAUGAAGUAGGCGGAAUUUGUGGUGUAGCGGUGAAAUGCUUAGAUAUCACGAGGAACUCCGAUUGCGCAGGCAGCUUACUAAACCACUACUGACGCUCAUGCACGAAGGCGUGGGGAUCAAACAGG
rnacentral:rRNA from 1 species